AUAAAUUGACUUCCUGUGCCUGACCUGCAGGUGGCGGCCAUUCUGUUUCCUGGCCAUGGCUUCACUAAUUUAGGCCUGCUGGGCUCACGGGAAGCCCUUCAAAAACCGACUCCUUUCAGAUUAACAUGUAAAAUUUAAUUACGGAGGUCCAGGCUGAGAUGAUGUCUAAAGCCAUUUACUAAGCCCGGCGGCCUACCCGUCCUGGGGCUAAGGAGGCAGAAGCAGAGCUUUGAUCAUUAACCGCUGAGAAAAUCUCAGCUUGCAUAUUAAGAGAAGUGGCAGCGCUUUUAACCCCUUUGGGAUGAGGACAGCAGACAUGGAGACAGCCAAAGGGAUGUAGAACCUCCUAUGAACUUCAAGAGAACAUUUCCGGGAGGAGCAGGUUGUGGCUUUCUAGGAGACCUUGGGACUGGCUUUGCCUAUAAUCACAUUUCCCCUCCCAGGAAGGAGGGCAGGGGAGGGGGCGGGGGGGGGGGGGGGGGGGGGGGGGGGGGAGGGAGGAGGGGCUUAAACUCUACAAGCACAAACUUCUGGGACUUCUGCCACCUUUGAAGCCUGUUGUGAGGCUGUCUUUCCACAGAGGACCCAGCUCUGGUUUUAAUGAUCAGAAGGCCUGAAGGGGCUGUCUUCUCACCCGGAUGGGUCCUUGGCAGACUCCUGGCCUGCCUUCCACGGCUCUUU
rnacentral:lncRNA from 1 species